ACGGCUCAGUAACACGUAGCUAAUCUACCCUUAAGUCAAGGAUAACCUCGGGAAACUGAGGAUAAUACUUGAUAGGAGAUAUACCCUGGAAAGAUUUAUCUCAUAAAUUCGAGCUUAAGGAUGAGGCUGCGGCGGAUUAGGUGGUUGGCGGGGUAAAGGCCCACCAAGCCGAUGAUCCGUAAGGGCUCUUAGCGGAGAGGCCCUGAGAGGGAAUCUGAGACACUAUUCCCAGCCCUACGGGGUGCAGCAGGUAAGAAUCUUUUGCAAUGCGCGCAAGCGUGACAAAGCGAGCCAGAGUGCUUUUCAAUUGAAAAGCUUUUGCUAAAUCUAAAAAUUUUGGCGAAUAAGGACUGGGUAAGACUAGUGCCAGCCGCCGCGGUAAUCCUAGCGGUCCAAGUCGCAGCCAUCAUUAUUGGGUCUAAAACAUCCGUAGCUUGCUUAAUAAGUUCCUUGUGAAAUCUUAUCUCUUAAGGGUGAGGCGUGCAAGGAGUACUGCUAAGCUAGAGACUGGAAGACGUAAGAAGUAUGCUCAAAGUAGCGGUAAAAUGUGUUAAUCUUGAGCAGACUCACAACAGCGAAGGCAUCUUACGAGGACAGUUCUGACAGUAAAGGAUGAAGGCUAGGGGCGCGAAGUGGAUUAGAUACCCAUGUAGUCCUAGCAGUAAACACUGCGCACUAAACAUUAGUACCUCCUCGAGAGGUAUUGGUGCUGUAGAGAAGUCGAAGAGUGCGCUACCUGGGAAGUAUAGCCGCAAGGCCGAAACUUAAAGGAAUUGGCGGGGGAGCAC
rnacentral:rRNA from 1 species